ensembl:lncRNA
ACAAAAAACACAAAUCAAAUUUUUGGUGACACAAAAGUCUUUAAAAUGUGUAAUUUCUAAACAUUUAGCAAAAUAUUUAGCAAAAAUACACAAAUACAAAUGUGUCAUGAAGUACAAUGUGAGCGACAACACAACCAAACUCAAAAUUCACAGCGGAAACUCUCAUUUCUACCACAAAACAGAAAAUAAUGUAUGUGGUCUGAAUUAAAAAAAGAUCAGCAGAGAUUAGGUUGCUUGGAAACUUUAAUCAUUGCAACUACUUGCAGUAAUUUUAGUUCAGCACUGAAUACAGUUAGGCGAUUUCUAAUGUAUUCUAAUGCGCCUUUGUGUUUCUAGAUGUUACAGUUCUUAAAUUGAAGAUGACCUCUUUGGUGGACUUGUCUAAAAUUGAUAGAGAUACCUUCCUUUCACAGAUCAAAAAUUUGCUGAUAUCCAAAGGGCUGCCCCCACACAUGAUCGUCCGACUAAUAAGCAGCAAUGCACAGAUUGGUCCAACCGCAACACCCUCUACUGGCAAAACAUGAACUGGCAGCUUAAGGAGCUUCUUCAUGGCAGCUGUUGAAUGAAGUUCAGUCUUCACUGUUCUUUAACACACAUUUUUAAUAAUUACAAUCACUUCUCAAGAGCAGCUUUUAAAAGCAACAUGUUACCCUGACUCUCCAGUGCUACACAGCAAAUCCAGCAUGUCAAAAUUAACACUGUCAGAUUUGAUUUCAACACUAUUAAAUUGUCUAUAUGGGUCCACACCAGAGAGUGUUAAUUUAACUCUUUUUGGAGAGUUGGUAAGUUAACUCUGAUUUAGUGUUAAACACCAAAUCUAUCUGGAGUUGAUAAUUUAACACUUACUAAUGCUAACUAGGUGUUAAGAGUUUAUAUAUUAACUCUCAAAGAGUAUUUUAGUUUAACUACAUAAGAGUUAUCUUCUAAUUAAUUCUAAAAAGUGGAAAUUCUACUGUUCUGAACUUCUAGAAAUUCCUUUGGAAAUAAACAUUAAAAAGAUGCAAUGGUUUUUGAAAAACAUUUAUUCUGAACUGUGCACCACAAUUUCAAAACAUUUUCUGAAAGAAAACAAUCUACAUGUUCUCACUUUCAUUAGAAUUUUGUUUAUCAAAAGGUCUGACAUAGGUGAGCUGGUAAAUGCAAAUAAAUAACAGCAUUCUCAUCACUUAUUUCUUCAAUACAAUAUGCAUGUCCUUCAUUCAUCACUUUGUGGAACUUCAACGCACUUCUGCUCUCCCCCAUAUUCCACCUUCAUAUUCACAGCAUAUUCUGUGUGGAGAUUGAUUAAAAAUUGAUUAAAAAUUAGUUGACACUAAUUUAUUGCACAAUUAAUCCGAUAAUCAAUUGCAGCACAGUAAAAAAAAAGGAAUAAUUUUUGAGCCAUUACUUGUGUAAAGUAUUUUCCCAAAAGACAAGCACACAGACAACAGGUAAUACUGAACUAAAUUUAAAACCUCAUCUUUUUCAUUUUUACCUAAACCAUGUGCACAAAACUCUGGAGGGAUCUAAAUGCUAACGUAGAACCCAGUCAGGACAUAUAUAGAAAAAAACGAGCAAACAGCGGUAGCUGCUGUUUGCUCAUUUUUUUUUUUUUUUUUUUUUUAUAGGAGAUCGUUUUCAGGCUUCAAGUAGCACCAUUAUACCAACAUUUCACAUUGUAGACAUUGUUUUAGGUUUAUUUAAGUUGACCAAAAAUUUGACUGAAAAUUCACAUGCAAGCUUUUUUUCAAGGCUGUAGUAUUUGCCUGCAAACAAUACAUUUCAGCUAGCUAAAACAGAAUAUCAUGCUAUCACCGAGCAACAUGGCUAAUGACUUUCACACAGCUUUGUCUCAACUCCAAAGAGCCACAGAAGUAAAAGCUAAUAAUAAUAAGUGAAACAAUCUUUGAAAAAAUGACUUACCAAGAAUGGCAAACAACUCAAAUAUGUAGAGCAAAAGGUUCUGAAACGCUUCACUUCAGCUUCGAUUGGAGCCUAUGGUGCUGGGGGCGGAGUCUGUGAAUUUACUCUAUUAGUGUCAUAGCCCCUCUAGGAGUUCGGAGUUAAGAGCUCAAGAGUUAAUGUUUCCAUUGUAACACCUCCAGAUUUGACAUAGAAACACUAAUUUUUAACACUCAGUUUUAACUACUAUAAUUUUACACCGCAGAGUUACAUUAAAGGAAUGUGACUCUACUAAGAGUAAAAUUAACUCUACUUUUGCAAGAAGACUACUAACACCAAUACAUUUAACACUUUUGAAUUUGCUGUGUAUAAUCUGAAAUUAAUUAAUUUGGACUUAAUUU